rnacentral:rRNA from 1 species
UACGUAGGGUGCGAACGUUAAUCGGAAUUACUGGGCGUAAAGCGUGCGCAGGCGGUGAUGUAAGACAGUUGUGAAAUCCCCGGGCUCAACCUGGGAACUGCAUCUGUGACUGCAUCGCUGGAGUGCGGCAGAGGGGGAUGGAAUUCCGCGUGUAGCAGUGAAAUGCGUAGAUAUGCGGAGGAACACCGAUGGCGAAGGCAAUCCCCUGGGCCUGCACUGACGCUCAUGCACGAAAGCGUGGGGAGCAAACAGG